UUUUUCCUCAGUUGUUUCCUUAUUGUAAAAUUACUAAACCACGAUGAUCCAAGUUUCUUGGUUUCGACUAGUGUUUCUAUCAUAUGGUCACGAUUUAGGCCCACAAGAGUAUUGAAACAAAAAUAAGAAACAGGUGUAAACACAGAAAAAGAUCCAUCGGUAGCUCUCAGUAGCCCCGAGGUUUUUAUCUCUUCGGAUUCGGUGCUUCGUAGACAGG